rnacentral:rRNA from 1 species
CCUACGGGAGGCAGCAGUAGGGAAUAUUGCUCAAUGGGGGAAACCCUGAAGCAGCAACGCCGCGUGGAGGAUGAAGGUUUUCGGAUUGUAAACUCCUUUUGUUAGAGAAGAUAAUGACGGUAUCUAACGAAUAAGCACCGGAUAACUCCGUGCCAGCAGCCGCGGUAAUACGGAGGGUGCAAGCGUUACUCGGAAUCACUGGGCGUAAAGAGCGCGUAGGCGGGAUAGCAAGUCAGAUGUGAAAUCCUAUGGCUUAACCAUAGAACUGCAUUUGAAACUGUUAUUCUAGAGUAUGGGAGAGGUAGGUGGAAUUCGUGGUGUAGGGGUAAAAUCCGUAGAGAUCCAGAGGAAUACUCAUUGCGAAGGCGACCUGCUAGAACAUAACUGACGCUGAUGCGCGAAAGCGUGGGGAGCGAACAGGAUUAGAUACCCCUGUAGUC